UUUUAGCCCAGAUUAAAAUGGAAAGCCUUUUGCGAAAAAAACCAUAUUUUUUUGCAGGAACAGAGCGACCAACGGAAGCUUCUGGAACUGCAUUAAAAAAUAGGUGUUUUGAGUAAAAGCUUGAAAUGGAAAGCUGGAUUAGCU
rnacentral:sRNA from 1 species